rnacentral:lncRNA from 1 species
AAAUUCACUAAUGAUGCAAAGAAUUUAUAUCCUCCCAUACUGAUGGAUAAAAACACAUACAUUCUCUAAGCACAAAGCUUAUAUUCACAAAUAACUUUUUGCUUAAAGACAAAUGUCCAUUAAUAAUCACAAUGGAAUUUAGUUGUUUAAUGCAACCACUAAUCUAAUAUCACCAAUAAAAUCUAAGCAGUUAUAUCACAAAACCAGGGUUAUAUUCAGUGGACAUGCAUUAAUAAUCUAUACAAUUUAACAUUACACCAGAAAAGGAACUGAAUACAAAAUUUUCCUUGACAUUUGGUGGUUUUCAAACUUCAUGGCACAGAUUACCUAUGGUUAAUUUCCCAAUGCAAAUAUGUUUUCAUAAAUACUGUGAUAAUUUAAACUUGGAAACAUACCUGAAAUCAGGACAGGGACAAAAAAAACCAACACAAGUCAAUCUUAUUUCUGACCUGUUAUCAUAAAGCCUUUUUGGGUC